UGAGGAAUUUUGCGCAAUGGGAGCAAUCCUGACGCAGCAACGCCGCGUGGGUGAUGAAGGCCUUCGGGUCGUAAAGCCCUGUCAGGUGGGAAGAAUGUCAUGGAAUUGAACAGGUUUCGGGAGUGACGGUACCACCAGAGGAAGCACCGGCUAACUCCGUGCCAGCAGCCGCGGUAAUACGGGGGGUGCAAGCGUUAUUCGGAAUUACUGGGCGUAAAGCGCGUGUAGGCGGUCCUGCAAGUCUGAGGUGAAAGCCCCGGGCUUAACCCGGGAAGUGCAUUGGAAACUGCAGGUCUUGAGUACUGGAGAGGAUGGGGGAAUUCCCGGUGUAGAGGUGAAAUGCGUAGAGAUCGGGAGGAACAUCAGUGGCGAAGGCGCCCAUCUGGACGGUAACUGACGCUGAGACGCGAAAGCGUGGGGAGCAAACA
rnacentral:rRNA from 1 species